rnacentral:misc_RNA from 1 species
GAUGAAGAACGUAGCGAAAUGCGAUAAGUAAUGUGAAUUGCAGAAUUCAGUGAAUCAUCGAAUCUUUGAACGCACCUUGCGCCCUUUGGCCAUUCCGAAGGGCAUGCCUGUUUGAGUAUCAUGAACACCUCAACUCUCAUGGCUUGCCAUGAUGAGCUUGGACUUUGGGGGUCUUGCUGGCCUGUGGUCGGCUCCUCUCAAAUGAAUCAGCUUGCCAGUGUUUGGUGGCAUCACAAGUGUGAUAACUAUCUGCGCUCGUGGUUUCCAUCAGAUAACCUCCAGUGAUGGAGGUUCGCUGGAGCUCAUAAAUGUCUCUCCUAAGCGAGGACAGCUCUUUUAAUGUUUGAUCUCAAAUCAGGUAGGACUACCCGCUGAACUUAAGCAUAUCAUAAGCGGAGGA